rnacentral:rRNA from 1 species
AGCGAACGCUGGCGGCAGGCCUAACACAUGCAAGUCGAACGAACCUUUCGGGGUUAGUGGCGGACGGGUGAGUAACACGUGGGAACGUGCCUUUAGGUUCUGAAUAACUCAGGGAAACUUGUGCUAAUACCGAAUGUGCCCUUCGGGGGAAAGAUUUAUCGCCUUUAGAGCGGCCCGCGUCUGAUUAGCUAGUUGGUUGAGGUAAUGGCUCACCAAGGCGACGAUCAGUAGCUGGUCUGAGAGGAUGAUCAGCCACAUUGGGACUGAGACACGGCCCAAACUCCUACGGGAGGCAGCAGUGGGGAAUCUUGCGCAAUGGGCGAAAGCCUGACGCAGCCAUGCCGCGUGAAUGAUGAAGGUCUUAGGAUUGUAAAAUUCUUUCACCGGGGACGAUAAUGACGGUACCCGGAGAAGAAGCCCCGGCUAACUUCGUG